rnacentral:lncRNA from 1 species
CUCUCUCUUCUAUCUCUUUCUCACGAUUUCACUCUAUGUACCGCCGCCUAGAGCCGCUGCGCCGCGCCUCCUAGCGCCGCCGUUGCCGGCGGUGCCUCGCUGGAGUUCGCCGCCGCCUCCCCGACCGCCGGUCGCUGAGCCGGGACUCGCUGCCGCGGUGCGUCGCCAUCCCAGACCGAGCCGAGCAAAAGAGCAGAGGAGGAAGAAGAAGGCGGAGCCGAGCCGCUGACAGGCUGACCCCAUGCCCCUUUUACCUCCAUCCCCCACUGACAAGCCGGGCCCGCGCAUCCUUCCUCCCAUCCAUCGCCGAUAGGUGGGUCCCCUCUUCUGCCGUCCCAGCUAACGGAAUAUUCCAACGGAAUAUUCCCUUACCGUCCAAAAAUUGUUAUUCCAGAAAAUUCUUUUAUUCUUUAGAAAUUCGUAGAAAAUCAACCGUAACUCCGAUUGACCCCGUUCAAGUUCCUAAAUUUUUCUAAAAUUGAAAUCUACACAGUGCCACUAUUGUUUCUCUGAUUUGAGCUAGAUUUAUUGGCUUUUCUUAAUUAGCUUUGUUUCCACGUUUAGAGCCUAAGUACGAGGAAGCUUCGGACGCCGCUUUCGAGGGAGAAGACCCGCACCCUGUGCAAGGCAAGCCUCUUUGAUCACAUUACCCCUAUAUUUUCAAUGAUACAUUGUUUGCAAAAAUGCAUUAUUUAGUUUACACGAUUAACAUGUUAGGCCUCGGAUUGUUUAUUCAACCAAUGGACCAACCUAGUAGUCGUACUUAUAUUUCAUAGGUUGAUGAUUCCAUACAUUUGAUAGCUCCACAAAUAUUUGUGCCGGUAUUGUUAUACGAUUACCGAGGUUUUGCCAUGUGGGAAACUUGGGUUAUUCCAAAUACAUGUUUAAAAAUCCGGUACGUUGUACUGAGUAGUUGUGAAAUAAAAUGUGUUGUGAAAGUGGUGAUGAUGCGGAGUCAUGCCUUUGUGGUUUGGCUACGUAUUGUCGUUAAGGACCAAUUCCUUUGGGAAAUCCAUCCAAACACGUUACAGUGCGACCACACGGGUAUUUAUGGGAUGCCUCUGGCUAAGUAAAUUGUUAUCACAUGGGAGUUGGUGUGCCAAUGGUUGUGGGAUGCCGAGGAUGAGGAGACGAAGUGUUACACAUUUUUGCCCAUCAUGGGUGUCUUUUUGCUUCUAUUGUGGCGUGGUACCAGUAGGAGUAGGAGGCAUCCUCAGUAUUUCCUGAGUGGAUGACGGCUAUCAUUGCCUGAUACUCGGCUAUGGAUCUUAGCCCAACUAGGUGGCAUGCGAUUUUCAUGGGUUAGCUUUGGAAAGGCCUUAUCACGAACUUUCAUUGCCGACGGGUAAACGAUGUCAGUUUCGUCUCGUGUGGGUAAAGCGUGCAACCUCUGCAGAGAUUAAUGAACUGUUCGAACAGCCGUGCCCACGGUCAAGGGCAAGUGUAAGGUGUUUCUCAUAGCGUAGAUUUGUUUGACAAAUGUUUGUGAAGAAGUGGUUAUUGGGAAGGGUAACGUUUCCAGAGUCCGCCUGUGUGGCAGACGGCUAACCUGGGUGGUUAGCAACGGGUCUAUGUGACCUGGGGUGUCGUCCGACACCGAGGUGUUGUUAGGGCCUUGAUGGCGUUGUUGUGCUGAGAUGUCUGUGUGGACUAUGUGUUGUUGUGAAAGUGAGAAGAAGCUAAUAGAAGAAACAAAUUAAUUGUUGUUCGUUAAUCGUGACAAGUUGUUGCAAAGCAACUUGUGAAAUGGGUCGAGGCGUGAGCCUCCUCCCGACAACUAAAACUUGACUCACUCAUUAGGAGUUUUGUGAAAUAAAUCACUUUGCCAAAAAAGCAGCUUUCGCAAAUAAAAGCCUAGCCUCCUUGUUAAACCGACAUGUCAUUCUUUCCCCUGGCUUGCUGAGUACGUUAAGUACUCACCCUUGCCCCUUAUAAUAAUCUAUAGUGUAUGAAGAUGAAGACAUCGUCCCAACCGCCGAGGAGUAUCUCCAGGAGUUAGCCGAGUAUGAAGACUUUGUUGGUAUUUCUUACGACCACAGAACAGGACUCUGGGGAUUCCUUAUGUGAGCAUGAAUCCUGGGGGGUUUUGAAAGAGAAACUUUCAUGCUCAUAUGUGGAAUGUUUU